GAUGAACGCUGGCGGCGUGCUUAACACAUGCAAGUCGAACGAUGAAGCCCAGCUUGCUGGGUGGAUUAGUGGCGAACGGGUGAGUAACACGUGAGUAACCUGCCCUUAACUCUGGGAUAAGUCUGGGAAACUGGGUCUAAUACCGGAUAGGAGCGUCCACCGCAUGGUGGGUGUUGGAAAGAUUUAUCGGUUUUGGAUGGACUCGCGGCCUAUCAGCUUGUUGGUGAGGUAAUGGCUCACCAAGGCGACGACGGGUAGCCGGCCUGAGAGGGUGACCGGCCACACUGGGACUGAGACACGGCCCAGACUCCUACGGGAGGCAGCAGUGGGGAAUAUUGCACAAUGGGCGAAAGCCUGAUGCAGCGACGCCGCGUGAGGGAUGACGGCCUUCGGGUUGUAAACCUCUUUCAGUAGGGAAGAAGCGAAAGUGACGGUACCUGCAGAAGAAGCACCGGCUAACUACGUG
rnacentral:rRNA from 1 species